rnacentral:rRNA from 1 species
UACGUAGGGGGCAAGCGUUGUCCGGAUUUAUUGGGCGUAAAGAGCGUGUAGGCGGCCUGACAGGUCUGCUGUGAAAACUCGAGGCUCAACCUCGAGAUGUCGGCGGAAACCGUCUGGCUAGAGUCCGGAAGAGGAGAGUGGAAUUCCUGGUGUAGCGGUGAAAUGCGCAGAUAUCAGGAAGAACACCUAUGGCGAAGGCAGCUCUCUGGGACGGCACUGACGCUCAUGCACGAAAGCGUGGGGAGCAAACAGG